CAGUCGCCAACGGGAAUACGAAGGGUGCAAGCGUUACUCGGAAUUACUGGGCGUAAAGCGUGCGUAGGUGGUGGUUUAAGUCCGUUGUGAAAGCCCUGGGCUCAACCUGGGAAUUGCAUCCGAUACUGCCAUGCUAGAGGAUUGGAGAGGUAGCUGGAAUUCUUGGUGUAGCAGUGAAAUGCGUGGAGAUCAAGAGGAACACUCGUGGCGAAAGCGAGCUACUGGACAAUAACUGACGCUGAGGCUCGAAGGCCAGGGUAGCGAAAGGGAUUAGAUACCCCCGUAGUCCCUGUCUCUAUAC
rnacentral:rRNA from 1 species